GCCCGGGUAGCUCAGUGGUAGAGCAGACGAUUGAAAAUCGUCGUGUCGGUGGUUCGACUCCGCCCCUGGGCACCA
rnacentral:tRNA from 19 species